GAUCCGAUUAAUUCUAAAAUAAACACAAGCUUUGAAAUUGUAAUAAACACUGUUUUGAAAAUUUAUGAAACUACCCAAAAGAGGAGGAGGACCAAUCCAGUUUGGAAAGUAGUUCAGUCCCCGCAACAACCUACAAACGUGGAAUGUGGGUUUUAUGUAAUGCGGUAUAUGAAAGACCUCAUUAGAGAUCAAAGCAUCCUAAGAAAACAAAAUUUCAAUGGAAAAAAGACUUACACGGAAACCGAACUUGAUGAAGUGCGAGUUGAAUGGAUUAAUUUCGUACUAAAGAAUAUGAGUUGAAAUCCAAUGAGAUGAAGAGUCAGUGUGAUGAGAAAAUGUUCGAUUUCGUCUUUUGUAAGUCUCUACAAAAAUAUUAAGUUUAUUCAUA